GCCACUGCACUCCAGCCUGGUGACAGAACGAGACUCCGUCUUAAAAAAAAAAAAAAAGUAUCAGUGUCCAGCUUCUUGGGUUUGGUAAAUUCCAGGAUGGCAAGCCUUUGUAGUGUCUCCUCGUCAACCUGAACGUCAGCUAUACCAUGCCUCCACCCUCAUGUGGCCUGACCGGAGAUGGUUCUGGUGGAGAUGCCCUCUGUCACCGGCCCAGCUCAUGAGAGCCAUUACCAAAUAUGUGAGUGUUCUUUAGAGUGAGGGUGACUCACGGGAAAUUCACAUGGUUCUGCUUUCUACGGCAAAGUUUGCAUUUUCCUCACCUGCACUGUUUAUGUUCUGCUGUGGUCCUUUGUGCUGGUGGUCAUGGUCCUCCCGUCACAGCAUGGGAUAGUAGUGGAUUAGGAAACGAGGUGUUGGUUCUCAGAAAAGGCAUGAUGGAAACCCAGAGCAGGAAGUGCUUUGUGCAGACGACAAAGAACCUUUUUUUGCUUUUUCAGUUGUUUUCUCUUUUCUACUUACCUCUCAUCCCUUUACAGUGUUAUCUGUUUGCUUUACCUCUUUCUUACCUCCAAGCCCCAAAACAUGGCAGGAGAGGAUGUAACUGAGGUUCCCACGAUAAUUUAGAACACAGGAAAUACAGCCUGUCUUGCUUUGUAUAAGGUUUUUUUCUGGUAAGGAAGAGCUUUAAUAUCUUAUGGCAUGAAACUAGCUUUCCUGUAAAAAAUCUAGAGUUAGCUUAUCUCCAGGUAGGUACCUACUUUUGUGAUCUCCACACUCCAUCUUAUUUUAUGGGCCAGGUCUGGAAGUACAGUUUGGACAUCUCAUCUGCUUUGCAGGGAGAUGGGCAUCAGGGCCUCCGUCGUGGGCUCUGUGAUCAGGUUCUCCAUCUCUGUGAUAAGGCGCUUACUGCCAGUUGUGUUAUUGGUUGUGACUUCUAGCAAUGCCUGUGCUCAGCAGUACUUCGUGGGCUGGCCUGAUAAUUGAUUUCAGUUAUUUUGUCUAAAAUUCAUUUCAGAAAUGAAGAUCUAGCAAAAUGAAGUGACUCACUAAAUUGCUGUACUCAACAAAAUUCCGUAGCUUUAUCUCAUUCACUUGCAGUUUCUUUUGUUAAGCCUCGACCCACUCAGUCUACUACAUGUAAGAGCAAAUCCUCCAUAUACCCCAUCUCAAGGUACUGGGGUUGCAUCAUCGGGUGACAUGUUGAGGAUACAGUGUUUGUGGGAACACUGAUGGAAGGUUACUUGUGUUGGACGGUCAUAUUACAGGCACACCUCAUUUUAUUGUACUUGCUUUAUGUGUUUUCACAGAUACAGUGGAGUUUCUUUUCCAUAUUGAAGGUUUGUGGGAACCCUGCUUCAAGCAGAUCUGUUGGUGCCGUUUUUCCAACAGCAUGUGCUCACUUUUUGGCAAUAAUAUAUUUUAAAUUAAAGUAUAUAAUUGGAUUCUUUAAGACAUAAUGCUAUUGCUCACUUUCUACUAUCAUGUAGCAUAAACAUUUUAAUAUGCACUGGGAAACCAAAACAUUUGUGUGACCCACUUUACUGUGAUAUUUGCUUUAUUGCGAUGGCCUGGAACCAAGUCUGCAGCAUCUCCGAGGGAUGCUAUACAGAGAAGCUGUCUCUUCGCAGUUCUUCUGGGUGUCUGAAAACAUAUCCACCAGAAACACCAAGUUGAAGUCAUGUUCUCGCCUCUGCCCGUUUCUGGUGGCUCUGCUGGCCAUUUAGAAGCACGUGGGAAUGGCACGGCUCGGCCUUCCUUUUUGCUCAGAAGAGAAGUUUGGGUUGACUUUAAGCAUUUGGCCCAAGUUCCUAACUUGGAAUUAACGACCAUGGGCAGAGUUCCACGUGAAUUUCUCAACUGGACAAGUGGAACACAAGGACCCGAAUUUUCUCUUCCCCUCAGAUCGUCCAUAGAUGAAAAAUGAAGGCCCAGAGGAUUAAAUACAGACAGAAUUUAUGUUCCUAAUACUGAUGCCAAGGACAGGAAGACCUUGACUAGUCUCGGGAGGACGCCCUGCCUGAAGUACCAACCCUUCUGCAGUGGUGAGUGACUGGCACAGGGUAAAACUCUACAGUAAUGAUUUGCAUUGCGCUAUCCCCUUUCUAGGGGCUGAAUCCCACUAUCAUACUUGCCCUUAGAAAGAGUCACGAAAAGUGCUUAGCAGGUGACUGGCUCAAUUAAUAGUCACUACUGAAAGCAAAUACUCUCUGGUUGGACUGUUUUCUUCUCUGGGGAAUGAAGGGGUAAGCCUAGACCAGUGGUUCUCAGGUUCCUGGACCAACGGCAUCACCUGGGAACUUGUCAGAAAUGCCAAAACUCUGGGAGAGGCAUCCAAUAAACGACACUGUAACCAGCCCCCCAGGUGAUCACCAGGCACAUGGUCAAGUCUGAGAGAUGCUGCUUUUAAUUAAGGUUUCGAAAAGUAUGGCUGGAAGAACACUGGUCUAGAAAUGCUCUAAUGUCAAGGACAUUAGAGAGAAAUGCACAAUUUGGUCCCUUCAGCAGUUUCUUGAUAUGUGUGGGCACAGUAAUGGCUCCAAGAAGUUCCAAAAUAAAGAAACCUGUUUGACUUGA
rnacentral:lncRNA from 1 species